rnacentral:rRNA from 1 species
AAGUGUUUGGCCGAGAUCGUGAGUUUUUAUCAAAUGACCUCAAAUCAGGCAAGAAUACCCGCUGAACUUAAGCAUAUCAAUAAGCGGAGGAAAAGAAACUAACAAGGAUUCCCCUAGUAACGGCGAGUGAAGAGGGAAGAGCUCAAAUUUUAAAUCUGCCUUGUUCCAAGGUCGAGUUGUAAUUUGAAGAAGCGUUUUCUUGGGCUCGCGGCCGGUAGAAGUUCUUUGGAACAGGACAUCAUAGAGGGUGACAAUCCCGUCCGUGACCGGUCGUGCGUUCAUCUACGAUACGCUUUCAAAGAGUCGAGUUGUUUGGGAUUGCAGCUCCAAACGGGUGGUAAACAUCACCUAAGGCUAAAUAUUGGCGAGAGACCGAUAGCGAACAAGUACCGUGAGGGAAAGAUGAAAAGAACUUUGAAAAGAGAGUUAAACAGUACGUGAAAUUGUUGAAAGGGAAACGAUUGAAGUCAGUCGUGCUGGCGCGAAAUCAACCCUCUCGUCUUGAGAUCACAUGGCGCGACGAGCCUCAAAACCGUCACGAAGCGUGAACUCUUGACGAAAAGGUGCACUUUCGUGUCCGCUGGUUAACAUCAAUUUCGAACGUCAUAAAAAGGCUGGAGGGAUGUGGCUCCUUCGGGAGUGUUAUAACCUUUAGCGGAAUGUGGCGUUCGGGAUUGAGGAUUGCAACGAAUACCUUCAGGGCUGUUCCACCUGGCUUCUCAUUGGUAUCCUGGUGACGACAGCUUGCUGACGUCGUUAGGAUCAGCUUCUGAACAGGCUAGAGUGUGAGCAAAUUCGUUAAGGAUGUUAACGUAAUGGCUUUAAACGACC